UGGGGAAUUUUGGACAAUGGGCGCAAGCCUGAUCCAGCAAUGCCGCGUGCAGGAUGAAGGCCUUCGGGUUGUAAACUGCUUUUGUACGGAGCGAAAAGGUCUGCCCUAACACGGUGGGCUCAUGACGGUACCGUAAGAAUAAGCACCGGCUAACUACGUGCCAGCAGCCGCGGUAAUACGUAGGGUGCGAGCGUUAAUCGGAAUUACUGGGCGUAAAGCGUGCGCAGGCGGUUAUAUAAGACAGAUGUGAAAUCCCCGGGCUCAACCUGGGACCUGCAUUUGUGACUGUAUAGCUAGGGUACGGUAGAGGGGGAUGGAAUUCCACGUGUAGCAGUGAAAUGCGUAGAUAUGCGGAGGAACACCGAUGGCGAAGGCAAUCCCCUGGACCUGUACUGACGCUCAUGCACGAAAGCGUGGGGAGCAAACA
rnacentral:rRNA from 1 species